rnacentral:tRNA from 1 species
GGUCUCGUAGCUUAGCUGGUAGAGCUUGCGCUGUACAAAAGCGUAAGCGGCGUCCAUGAUGGAUUCGAAUCCCACCGAGUCUA